CAGUCGCCACGGUAAUACGUAGGGUGCAAGCGUUAAUCGGAAUUACUGGGCGUAAAGCGUGCGCAGGCGGUUUUGUAAGACAGAGGUGAAAUCCCCGGGCUCAACCUGGGAACUGCCUUUGUGACUGCAAGGCUGGAGUGCGGCAGAGGGGGAUGGAAUUCCGCGUGUAGCAGUGAAAUGCGUAGAUAUGCGGAGGAACACCGAUGGCGAAGGCAAUCCCCUGGGCUUGCACUGACGCUCAUGCACGAAAGCGUGGGGAGCAAACAGGAUUAGAUACCCCCGUAGUCCCUGUCUCUUAUAC
rnacentral:rRNA from 1 species